CUCUGUGUGCCUUUAUUCUUGCUUAUUCUUGUGUUUCUGUCAGUUCCUGACUGUCCCUGUUACUGACCCCUGUUCUAUAUGUUCCCAGGACUGUGAAUCACAGUGGCACGGGCUUUGCUGCUCAGGGUAUCACUGUGCCGAGGCAAAUCAGCAGGUUUUGGAGUCACUGUCCCUCUGGCUGUGUGCUGAAUGUGAGCACUCAGAAAUCUAGUUCAAGUGUGCUGACCAGUGCAACAGUGGACUUCAGUGGACCUCAAAGGUAGGACAGAUGCAUCUGAGGGAAAAAAUAAAGAUUGCGGACAAAACUG